CAACAUUGGUGACGAAAAGAAAGCCAACGUUGGAUGGGUGGAUGUUUCAACAAUCGAAUGGCUUAGGACAGUGGAUACGCUAAGAGACAUCUACAGUGUUGUAUAAGCUUGACAAUAUUGAAAUGAGAUUCAAUGCUUGCUGGUGUGAAAGAAAACAAACAACCACAAAAAUCCCCCUGAGUCAUGCAAAGGUGCAAGACUGAUUCUGGACAUUUCCCUCUUCUCCAUAGUGUGAGUGAACAGGAACAGAAUCUGAUGAACUAUGGCCCAAAGACGACAGGGUCGUAGGGCACACUGAGUAUGGUGAUCUUGUCUUUCAAAAUGUUGCAACUUUAAAGCCUCUUCAUACAAACCCAGAUCAAAAUGACCUCAUGAGUACUUGUAAUUUAUUAACAGAACAGAGAAGUUUUUAACAGAACAGAGAGGUUUUUAUCAGACAAGAUUUGCUUCACUUGAAAUAAAUGUUUGCAACUGUAAACAGCAACACAAAAAAUAAAUAAAAAAUAGCUUGGUUGCUAGUGUGUAGGUUGCUAGAUUGAUAGUUGUUUGCCUUAUCCUGUCUCUUGUAUGCAG